GAUGAACGCUGGCGGCGUGCCUAAUACAUGCAAGUCGAGCGAACAGACGAGGAGCUUGCUCCUCUGACGUUAGCGGCGGACGGGUGAGUAACACGUGGAUAACCUACCUAUAAGACUGGGAUAACUUCGGGAAACCGGAGCUAAUACCGGAUAAUAUAUUGAACCGCAUGGUUCAAUAGUGAAAGACGGUUUUGCUGUCACUUAUAGAUGGAUCCGCGCCGCAUUAGCGAGUUGGUAAGGUAACGGCUUACCAAGGCAACGAUGCGUAGCCGACCUGAGAGGGUGAUCGGCCACACUGGAACUGAGACACGGUCCAGACUCCUACGGGAGGCAGCAGUAGGGUAUCUUGCGCAAAGGGCGAAAGCCUGACGGAGCAACGCCGCGUGAGUGAUGAAGGUCUUCGGAUCGUAAAACUCUGUUAUUAGGGAAGAACAAAUGUGUAAGUAACUAUGCACGGCUUGACGGUACCUAAUCAGAAAGCCACGGCUAACUACGUG
rnacentral:rRNA from 1 species